AUUGAACGCUGGCGGCAGGCUUAAUACAUGCAAGUCGAGGGGCAGCAUGAUUGUAGCAAUACCUGAUGGCGACCGGCAAACGGGUGCGGAACACGUACGCAACUUUCCCAGAACUGGUGAAUAGCCCUCCGAAAGGAGGAUUAAUACACCGUAAGAUAGAGAUGUGGCAUCACAUUUUUAUUAUAGCUUCGGCGGUUUUGGAUGGGCGUGCGCCUGAUUAGGUAGUUGGCGGGGUAACGGCCCACCAAGCCUACGAUCAGUAACUGGUGUGAGAGAACGACCAGUCAAACGGGCACUGAGACACGGGCCCGACUCCUACGGGAGGCAGCAGUAAGGAAUAUUGGUCAAUGGACGCAAGUCUGAACCAGCCAUGCCGCGUGAAGGAUGAAGGCCCUCUGGGUUGUAAACUUCUUUUAUCUGGGACGAAAAAGGGGCAUUCUUGCUCAACUGACGGUACCAGAGGAAUAAGCACCGGCUAACUCCGUGCCAGCCGCCGCCUAAGAC
rnacentral:rRNA from 1 species